CACUGUUAUAGUUGAGUUAAACUUAAUUCACUUCUUUAUGUCGGCGACGGAUACACCUGACGUACCUGCGGGAUGGCGGCACGUAUGAGCCCUCUUCCUGCAGUAACUGCUGGAAGUGGCUGCUGCAGACAGACAGGUGCAGGCUGUUGAGGUUUGCAGGCUCAACUUGCAUUCACUCUGAGCCAUCAAACACUUAAAAAAAAAAAACGCGCUCACUUAUUUAAAACAUGCAUCAUUACACGCCUAAUCGCCCUCUUCCUCUCUGUUUCAUUUCUUUUUAAUUGACAGCCAAAACCAGCUAGAAAUGUGCUGGUGUCACUUUCUCACCUUUCAUCCUCACCGGUGUCUCUCUGCCUGCCCCACUUUUGCCCCUUCUUCCUCGUGGGUGCCACUGCCAAUGAAAAGUAGUGUGUCAGACGACAAGAGAGCUCUGCCUGGAUCUUCCCCUUCCCUUUUCAGCAAGAGCAGCUCCCAUGCAGACUGGGGCCAAGACAGAAGCAGUAAAUGCACCUCACAGUAACAAGGUAGUCAUCUCGUUCAUCAUGUGUGCUGAGGAUUUUCAUUAAUCCUUAUAUGAACAUGCCAAUUGCUCCACUUUUUCCAGCUGAUUUUCAGAUUAAGGAUUUGUACUGCAGAUAAACAGCACAAAUCUGGGCCAAAAUAUUUCAUUAGUUUUACUGAAAACCCAUUUAAAAGCAUGACUGAUGUUAUAAUACUGAGGCUUUAACGAGGGAGAAAUAUAAUAUUGUUUCAAACAUAAUUGCUGUAUAUUUUCAGUUAACUCUUUCCAUCACGUAGCCUAUUUUUAUUAAUCACGGGCUGAAGUAAAUUCCAAAUUUGAACAAGAUUAAGACAAAUGUAUUCAUAUCAAAGACACUUUGGAACAAGGAGCCAAAUCUAAAAAUUGUUAAUACAUUUUCCAGCAAAGCAAACAUGUUACACAGAGAAGGACAAGAGGGUUUCCCGCAUGGUGUGGAGAGUAUUGAAAGUCAAUUUGUCACUAUCAUACGCCAUUAGCUGCAGAAUCUUAUCUCAAGUGUGCCUUUGAUAAAGUGCUAAUGACAAACAGUUUAGUGUUGUAAGGGAUCCCAUUGAUUACUAUUUAAAGAUGAUUGCAUUUAGAUUAGAAGUCAUUUUGUCUAAUGAGGUGUCUUUACAGCUACUACAAUAUGUAGAAAAUAUGCUUAAGUGCAAGGCGACAUAAUGAUCGGAUUGGUAAAGAGACAAUGCCGACUUCAGCAUCACUUCAAAUGAGUCACACAGAACGUCUGAAUAAAUACAUAAUUAAUGUGAAUAAAGUUAAUAUUUUUUGUGGUUUAAAUAUGUGACCUAUUUUGAACGUUGUGUUCUCAAAAUAUAUUCAAUAAGUGCCAAAUUAGUUGUGCAGUUCUUUAAUCAUUCUAAUUAUACAGUCUUUAUUGCUCCUUAGGGCAGACUUUCGUGUCUUUGUCUCAGUGGGAAUUAUUUUGGUGAAGAACCAAAAUAUUUACUCAACCACAACCUAAAUAUUACGCAUAUCAAGAGGAAUUGAGAAAUAAUCCUCUCAUAGAGCACAGUAUUAACUUAAUCACAUUAGGGAAAAUACUAUUGAUAGUGGUCAUGAUCCCUAGUGAGGGAAUCUGUAAUUCACAAUAAAACAGCCAUACAAGCCAGAGCACACUGCAGUGUGUAUUAAAGACUGGGGAGUGGAACAUGAAAAAUGGCCCUGAGGAUUGAGUGAGUGUGUGUGAGUGAAUGCUUGAAUGAUGGUAAAGAGGGAGGAAAG
rnacentral:lncRNA from 15 species